AACCAUAGAAACCUGCGGAGUACCUGCGGAAGGAUCAUUACCGAGUGCGGGUCCUCGUGGCCCAACCUCCCACCCGUGACUAUUGUACCUUGUUGCUUCGGCGGGCCCGUGCCCGCCGGAGACCCCAACAUGAACCCUGUUCUGAAAGCUUGCAGUCUGAGUGUGAUUCUUUGCAAUCAGUUAAAACUUUUAACAAUGGAUCU
rnacentral:misc_RNA from 1 species